rnacentral:lncRNA from 1 species
UGCAUAUCAAGUACCUCACUUUCUUGAGGUAAUACAAUGAUACCAUUUGUAGUUUGGCUAGCAAAGUUUAGUAUAUGCAGUAUAUGAGGUGGAAGGUUGGUGUUUUGGUAGUGUAAUCUUCUGUUUGAUACUAUAUGAGAUUCAUUUUUUAUGUCUUGUUUGUGUAUAAUAUCUAUAGAAGCAGUAGAGAUGGAGCAUGAGUUUGUUGAGUUACCAAAGCAUAUUAUUUUUGAAUCUUGUUUUUGGAAGUGAGUGAUGAUGCGUAUGAAUAACAUGUGAUUGGCUUGCGCUCAGAUUUUGAAGAUCGACGAGGUUGGUGAGCUGUUUGAAGAAGCAAGAGGAACUCUGAACAAAAAUGUGGUUUGUAUGAUCAAAGAAUUAAAUAUUUAUAACUCUUUAUAAAAAUUGCAGAGUUGGCUUCUUUAUACAUCCUUCUCUUUCAUCUUCUUCAGACAUUUCUUAUACUAAACCAAUUGUAUAUCCUCUUACGAGUUGCAUAGUUGAAGAGAUUAGUUCGACAUGUAAAUGAGUGUGGUUCCAAUCGUUUUUUUUAUAGAAGAAUGAGAUAUGGAGAAGCCUUGAUAUUCUCAGAUCAUGUUAGUAACAACUAACAAAAACUGAGUUUUGCAAGUACAAACUCUAUUGGAGCUAGAUUCAAAUGAUUUACAAAGCUUUAUAAAUUAGUUUAUAAAUAUUUAUAAUUAAC